rnacentral:rRNA from 1 species
UACGAAGGGGGCUAGCGUUACUCGGAAUUACUGGGCGUAAAGGGCGCGUAGGCGGCCUGUCAAGUCAGAGGUGAAAGUCCUGGGCUCAACCUGGGGACUGCCUUUGAAACUGUCGGGCUUGAGACCGGGAGAGGUGAGUGGAAUUCCCAGUGUAGAGGUGAAAUUCGUAGAUAUUGGGAAGAACACCAGUGGCGAAGGCGGCUCACUGGACCGGUUCUGACGCUGAGGCGCGAAAGCGUGGGGAGCAAACAGG